rnacentral:rRNA from 1 species
CCUACGGGAGGCAGCAGUGGGGAAUAGUGGACAAUGGGGGCAACCCUGAUCCAGCCAUGCCGCGUGUGUGAAGAAGGCCCUCGGGUUGUAAAGCACUUUCAGUGAGGAAGAACGCCUGGUGGUUAAUACCCAUCAGGAAAGACAUCACUCACAGAAGAAGCACCGGCUAACUCCGUGCCAGCAGCCGCGGUAAUACGGAGGGUGCGAGCGUUAAUCGGAAUUACUGGGCGUAAAGCGCGCGUAGGUGGCUUGAUAAGCCGGUUGUGAAAGCCCCGGGCGCAACCUGGGAACGGCAUCCGGAACUGUCAAGCUAGAGUGCAGGAGAGGAAGGUAGAAUUCCCGGUGUAGCGGUGAAAUGCGUAGAGAUCGGGAGGAAUACCAGUGGCGAAGGCGGCCUUCUGGACUGACACUGACACUGAGGUGCGAAAGCGUGGGUAGCAAACAGGAUUAGAUACCCCAGUAGUC